UCAGACGAUGCGUCAUGCAUAUCAAUAAGCGGAGGAAAAGAAACUAACAAGGAUUCCCCUAGUAACGGCGAGUGAAGCGGGAAGAGCUCAAAUUUGAAAUCUUAAAGGGUUUCCCUUUACGAAUUGUAGUUUAAAGAAGUGUUUUCUGUUGAGGUUUUGGUAAAAGUUCUUUGGAAUAGGACAUCAUAGAGGGUGAGAAUCCCGUAUUUGACCUUUACUUUCAACUUUGUGAUACACUUUCAAAGAGUCGGAUUGUUUGGGAAUGCAGUCCAAAAUGGGUGGUAAAUUUCAUCUAAAGCUAAAUAUUGGCGAGAGACCGAUAGCGAACAAGUACCGUGAGGGAAAGAUGAAAAGAACUUUGAAAAGAGAGUUAAACAGUACGUGAAAUUGUCAAAAGGGAAGCGUUUGACACCAGUGUUGUUUUUCUGAAAAUCAAUUAAAGAACUGUUUAUGCUAAGCUGUUUAGACUUUAUCAGCUAUCUGUUUAGUUUUGAGCUUUUCUUAAUGCACUUUUCAGUUAACAAGUCAACAUCAAUUUCUUUUGCUGUAAAAAAGCUUGAGGAAGGUGGCUUGAGAUUCGUCUUAAGUGUUUAUAGCCUCUUGCCUAUGCAGUCGGAGAGAUUGAGGUCUGCAGCGUAGAUCCUUCGGGGCUAAAUGCAUUUGUGCUAAGUUAUAACAUUUUAUAGACAACUUGUUGACUAUGAUUUGUCUUGUAGCUUACUCGCUUAUGUUAUUUUACCUACGCUUAGGAUGUUGAAUCUGUGCGAGACUAC
rnacentral:rRNA from 1 species